rnacentral:rRNA from 1 species
GGGGGGGGGGGGGGGGGGGCGGGACGGGGGGAAGUCGAGCGGAAGGGGCGGGCUUUGGGGGGGGGCUGGAGUGGCGAAGGGGUGAGUCACACGUGGGUAACCGGCCCUUGACUUUGGGCUAACUUCAGGAAACGGGGGCUAAUACCGGAUAGGAGCGCCUGCUGCGUGGUGGGGGUUGGAAAGUUUCGGCGGUUGGGGAUGGACUCGCGGCUUAGCAGCUUGUUGGUGGGGUAGUGGCUUACCAAGGCUUUGACGGGUAGCCGGCCUGGGAGGGUGACCGGCCACAUUGGGACUGAGAUACGGCCCAGACUCCUACGGGAGGCAGCAGUGGGGAAUAUUGCACAAUGGGCGGAAGCCUGAUGCAGCAACGCCGCGUGCGGGAUGACGGCCUUCGGGUUGUAAACCGCUUUCGCCUGUGACGAAGCGUGAGUGACGGUAAUGGGUAAAGAAGCACCGGCUAACUACGUG